GGGUAUUAGAGUUUUCCAAAGAAACCCAACUAAUAGGAUUACAGAUAUAGGUAUAGAUCAAUAGGAGGAGAUUUACUAUAUGAACUGGCUCAUAUGAUUACAGAGGCUAAGAAGUCCCAUGACAUGCUAUCUGCAAGCUGGAGAACCAGGAAAGGUGAUGGUGUAAUUCAGUCCAAGUCUGAAAGACUGAGGGGAAAAGGGUAAGGUGUAAGUCCCAGAGUCGGGAGAUCCAAGAACAUGGAGCUCUGAUUUCCUGAAGGCAGGAGAAAAUGGAUGUCCCAGCUCAAGAAGAGAGAGAAUGAGAGAAUUUGCCCUUCCUAUGCCUUAAAAAAAAAUUUUUUUUUUUUUGAGACGGAGUCUUGAUCUGUCGCCCAGGCUGGAGUGCAGUGGUGCAAUCUCCACUCAUUGCAACCUCCGCCUCCGGGGUUCACUCCAUUCUCCUGCCUCAGCCUCCUGAGUAGCGGGUACUACAGGUGCCCACCACAACGCCCGGCUAAUUUUUUGUAUUUUUGGUAGAGACGGGGUUUCACCAUGUUAGCCAGGAUGGUCUCGAUCUCCUGACCUCAUGAUCCGCCUGCCUCGGCCUCCCAAAGUGCUGGGAUUACAGGCAUGAGCCACUGCACCCAGCCAAAAAAAAUUUUUUUAAAGAGAAAGGUCUUGCUAUGUUGCCCUGGCUGGCCUCAAACUCCUGGGCCCCAGCAUCUUCCUGCCGCAGCCUUCCAAGAAGCUGGAACUAUAGGCACAUCCUCUGACUUUUUGUUCUGUGUGAGCAGGAGUCCUCAGUGAAUUGGAUGAUGCCUGCCCACAUUGGUGAGGGCGGACCUUAUUUGCUCCGUCUACUGAUUCAAAUGCUUGUGAACCUCUCCGAACACAUCCUCACAGACACAGACACAGACACAAAUAAUGUUUUACUUGCUAUCUCAUAAAAUUAACCAUCAUGCAGACAGACCAGACCUCUAAUAUGGACCUACCACAUGCUAACUAUAGCAACUGGGUAAAUUACUUUACUUCUCUUUUGUUUCUUUGCCUGUAAAGUGAAGACAAGAAUAUCAAUCGCGUAAAGCUAUUGUGAGGAUGAAAUGAGGUCAUGUACUAUUGUUAGUAUUAUUCUUGUAAUAAUACAAUAGCAGAGCAAAUUGAUACUUGCCCAGGACCUCCUAAUUUCUGCCUUAACCUGGCAUCUAGCUUAGAACACAUUAACAUAGUUAAUAACUUAUAUUAUCCAAAUUUAACUCAGCCAAGACCUCCUGAUCUCCUUCGAUGGAAUUUUACUCUAAGAUGACUGUAUUCCCUAGGGAAACCUAUGUGUUCCUAUAUGACUUCUCUCCUGGGUGAUUCUGUCCAGACCCAUGGCCUUAAAUACCAUCUAUAUGUGAAUGAUUCCCUAAUUUAUAUCUCAUUCUGAUCUCUUUUAUGACCUUCAGACUCAUAUAUCCAGCCGUCUAUUUGACAUUUUGACUUGGAUGUCUAAUAGACAUCCCAAAAUUGCAUUUAAAAUAAAACUCUUGCACAGGCAACAAAAGAAAAAAUAGAAAAAUUGGGCUACAUCAAAAAUGUAAAACUUCUGUGCGUAAAAGGAUAUAAUCAAUAGUGAAAAGGCAUAGAAUGGGAGAAAAUAUUUGCAAAUCAUGUAUCUGAUAAGUGGUUCAUAUCCCAAAUAUGUAAAGAACUCCUACAAUUCAACAACAACAAAAAAAAAACCUGAUUUUAAAAUGGGCAAAAGAGUUGAGUAGACAUUUCUCCAAAGAAAAUAUAUAAAUUGCCAAUAAGCACAUGAAAAGAUGCUCAACAUAAUUAAUAAUUAGGGAAAUGCAAAUAAAACCACAAUGAAAUACCACUUUAUACCCAUUAGGAUAGCUUCUGUAAAAAAACAAAAACAAACAAAACAACAACAACAGCAAAACCACAGAAAAUAACAAGUAUUGGCGAGGACGUGGAGAAACUGGAACUCUUGUGCACUGUUGGUGGGAAUGUAAAAUGGUACAGCUACCGGGGAAAACAGUAUGGCAAUUCCUUAAAAAAAUUAAACAUAGAAUUACCACAUGAUCCAGCAAUUCCACUUCUGGGUAUAUACCCAAAGAAUUAAAAGCAAGUACUCAAAUAGAUACUUGUACAUACAUGUUCACAGCAGCAUUAGUCACAACAGGCAAAAGAUGGAAGCAACCCAAGUGUCCAUCAGUGGAUGAAUGGGUAAACAAAAUGUAGUAUACAUAUAUAAUGGCAUAUUAUUCAGUCUUAAAAAGGAAGGAAAUUCUGACAUAUGCUACAACAUGGAUGAACCUUGAAGACAUUAUGCUAAGUGACAAUAAAAGCGAGUCACAAAAGGACAAAUACUAUGUGAUUCCACUUAUGAGAGUGGUCAAAUUCAUAGAGACUUCUGUAUUAUAGAAGGGUUUUCGGGGCUAGGGUAAGGAGGGGAGUGGGGAGUUAGUGUUUAAUAGGUACAGAGUUUCAAUUUUGCAAGAUGAAAAGAGUUCUCUACAGAUGGAUGAUGGUGAUGGUUGCACAAUGUGAAUGUACUUAAUGCCCUUAAGAGUGGUUAAAAUGGUAAAUUUUAUGUUAUGUGUAUUUCACCACAAUUUUUAAAAAGCAAAAAAUAAAAAUAAAAAACUCUUAAUUUCCCAAACCCCCACCCCAUCAAAUCUCCCCAUUUCAAAAACAAACAUGAAAAGCUAUAAAGUUGCUCAGGCUAAAAAUCCAGGAGUCAUCCUUAAUUUCCUUCCCUCAUGCCCACAUCCAAUAGUAAAUCAUGUCACCUUUUUCCUCCAAAAAUAUUCUGAAUUCAUCCAUUUAUCUCUUCCACAGUUACCACUCUAGUUCAGGCCAUCAUAAGCUCUUGCCUAUAAUGCUGCAAUGCUUUCUAAUCAGUCAACCUGCUUUCAUUCUUGUCCUCUACAGUCCCUUCUCUAUAUAGCAGCCAGAAUGUUCCUUUUAUGCUAGAAGUAAGACCUUAUGCUUUUCUCUGCCUGAAAAUACUCUGAUAGGCCAGGCACGGUGGCCCACACCUAUAAUCCUAGCACUUUGGGAGGCCAAAGUGGGCAGCAUUCAAGACCAGCCUGGGCAACAUGGCAAAAUCCCAUCUCUACAAAAAAUACAAAAAUUAGCCAGGUGUGGUGCGUGUAGUCCUAGCUUCUGGGGAAGAUGAGGUGUGAGGAUCACUUAAGCCCAGGAGGCAGAAGUUGCAGAGAGUCAAGAUCAUGCCACUGCACUCCAGCCUGGGUGACAGUGAGACCCUGUCUCAAAAAAGAAAAAAUAUUCUGGUAGUGUUCCAUCUAGAAUAAAAUCCAAACUCCUUGCCACUAUCUACAAGGCACUAGACAAUUUGGCUUCCAUAAAAACUGGCCUCCUGCCAAUGUCUCUGACUUAUGUUCCAACAUUACUCACUUUGAUCACUAUGUUCUAGUCACGCUGGUCUUCUCUCCGUUACUUAGUCACCCCGAGCACAUCCCUUACCUCACAGUCUUUGUACUUGCUGCUCUUCUGCUUAGUACACCUGCUUCCCAGAUCUUCACAUGACAGAUUCCUUCUCGUCCUUUGCCUCUCAGCUCAGAUAUCACUUUCUCAGAAACAUGUUCACUUACCAUUCAUCUAAAGCAGCUACCCAAUGACUGUCAUUCUAUACCAUUACUCUCUUUUCUUUCACCUUGGCAAUUACCACUACUUGAAGUUUGUAUUUAUUUGUACAAGUUUAUUGUCAGCCUCUCCAUCCUCCAAGUAAAAUACGAGCUCCAUGAAAACAGAUAGCUUGUUUCUUUCCUCAGUUCCCAGAACUCGGAACAGUGUUUGGCACACAUCAGUCUAUUCAUAUGUUUGCCAAAUGAACGAAGAAGUAAAAACCACUAGUGACCCAAUUUUCCUGCCAUGUCAUAUAUAUACAUAAAAGUCUUUUGGGAAAACUCAUAUUUCUAUAUUGGCCCUCACUAAUGUCUUUUCCAUCUAUUCUAGAAUGCAAUAACCAGUCUUUAAAAUGCAAGCAGAAUAUUUCACAUUUCAUUUUUGCAGGUAUCUCUGAGGGGAAUGAAUUUACAUUUCUACUACCACAAAUAGGAUGGUCAAGUUUGUUGCAAUGCAAAAUUUUUUCUGUGGAAUUCAAAAACUGUCCUGUACCUCUUGAAGCCGAAUUGUGGGGUUUCACAUUGGAAAUUACACUCAUCUAAAGAAACAGUCUGGACAUUUAAGUCCUUAAACAGUUGUUCAAAGUAUUUUAUUACAUACUUUUUCUAGUCUUCAGAAUGUUUCAAGGUCCAUUGUCUUCAUGGCUAGUUACCUGUCUGUCCAGGCCAAACAAACUGGAGUUAAAAUGCAGAAUCACAUAACAGCAGAAAUGUGAUUUCUCAUUCUAUUGUGCAAUCCAACAGAAUUGUGCCAAGUCUUGCUAGGCUGACGCUGCUCUACUCUGCCCAAAUGCCAAUAUGCAUUGGGGUGAUGACAUCCCACUUGGGAUAUUGUCUGAUGACACAGACAGACUUCUCUGUUUCUCCACUCUUGGGUCAUAUAAUUCAAUGUUCUGGGGCUGAGGCAAAUAAUGUCUUACAGUGAUUUUGGCAAGAAAAAAACAGCUAUUUCAGAUUUUGUUCAAGUUCCCCUAGUCAUGUCAGACCCCAUUGACUUCAGUAGGGAUGGCACCAUGUUCAAGAGGCUGAAGAAGAGACCUAGAACCAGAAACUGAGACAUAAGGUUUAUUGAGGGGACUUACAAUACAGGGCAGUCCAGUGGCAGUGGGCUGGGCAGGAGAACCAAAACUCCUUGUAAAAAGCAUGCAAUUGGCCAGGCGUGGUGGCUCAUACCUGUAAUCCCAGCGCUUUGGGAGGCUGAGGCAGGUGGAUCACCUGAAGUCAGGAGUUUGAGACCAGGCUGACCAACAUGGGGAAACCCUGACUCUACUAAAUACAAAAAAUUAGCCGGGCCUGGUGGUGGGCACCUGUAAUCCCAGCUACUUGGGAGGCUGAGACAGCAGAAUCACUUGAACCCAGGAGGCGGAGGCAAUCCUCUCACCUCAGCCUCCUGAGUAGCCGGGACUACAGGCGCGUGCCACAAUUGGCUAAUUUUUGUAUUUUUAGUAGAGACAGGGUUUCACCAUGUUCCUUAGGCUGGUCUCAAACUCCUGACCUCAGGUGAUCCACCCUCCUCAGCCUCCCAAAAUGCUGGGAUUACAAGUAUGAGCCACCGCACCCAGCCUAUUCUUUUCUUAAAGGAGGAGGCCUUCCCUUCCUCAGGCAAGUAAUUGCUGACUACUCCAGCCUACAUAACGUCCAGACAUAUCCAAAUCUGUGGAGAACACAAAGUUCUUAAGGUAUUUAUUUAGAGUCAAUAAUCAAAGUAAAACUAAUAAUUAUAGCUAAUAUUUAGUUUGUAGUUAAUAUAUGCUAGGAGCUCGAGCUAAGCACUACCAUCCCAGGAAACUGAGGCUUAAAACACUUUUAAAAUUUGCUCAAGCUCACAAGCUUGGAAUUGAAGAAGAAAGCAAUUGAAUAUUGGUCUUUCUUCUAUCAUACAUCCAGAGGCUCUGCACUUAAUCAAUACAACAUACUGUCUCUUAUUGCACAAGUAACUACAAGGUUCAUCUGUAAAAUUCUAUUCUGUAGAAUAGAAGGGAAAACAAAUUAAGGAAUUACAGAUGUUUAUUCUUCUGAGCUUUAAUUUAACGUAUUGUUUGAUUCAAAUAAUUUAUAUAUUAGCUAUCUAUUGCCACAUAACAUAAUACCUCAAAAUUUACCAUUUUAAAACAACCAACAUUCAUUAUUUCUCAGAGUUUCUGAGGAUCAGGAAUCUGGGAGCCACUUAACUGAGUGGUUCUGGUCCAGAAGACUCUCAUGAAGUUGCAGUCAAGCUGUCAGUAGUCAUCUCGACACCCAACUGAUGCUGAAGGAGCUACUUCCAAGCUCACUCAAGGUUGUUGGUGGGCCUCAGUUCCUCAUUAAAUGUUGGCUAGAGACUUCAUUCCUUGACAUCACAUGGACCCCUCAAAGGGCUGCUUAUAACAUGACAGCUUGCUUGUCU
rnacentral:lncRNA from 1 species